rnacentral:lncRNA from 1 species
UAUAGGAGGAAGAAGUACGUCGGUGGAGCAAGAUGGGACCCACGAGGGUGGAGGGCGCGCCUGGGGGGGGGGGGGUAGGCGCACCCCCUCCCUCGUGCUCUCCUCGUUGAUUGCUUUGGGUAGACUCCAAGUCCUCUGGAUCACGUUCGUUCCGAAAAUCACGUUCCCGAAGGUUUCAUUCCGUUUGGACUCCGUUUGAUAUCUUUUUUCUGCGAAGCACUGAAAUAGGCAAAAAAACAGCAAUUUGGGCCGGGCCUCCGGUUAAUAGGUUAGUCCCAAAAAUAAUAUAAAAGUGUAUAAUAAAGCCCAUUAAACAUCCAAAACAGAAUAUAAUAUAGCAUGGAACAAUAAAAAAUUAUAGAUACGUUGGAGACGUAUCAUGAACCGUUAUGUAAUGAAGUCGGAGCAUGAUUCAUUUAUUGAUUGUCUUCCUUAUGAGUGGCGCUCAGGGAUGAGCGAUGGUCUUUUCCUACCAAUCUAUCCCCCUAGGAUCAUGCACGUAGUACUUUGUUUUGAUGACUAAUAGAUUUUUGCAAUAAGUAUGUGAGUUCUUUAUAACUAAUGUUGAGUCCAUGGAUUAUACCCACUCUCACCUUUCCGCCAUUGCUAGCCUCUCUUGUACCGCGCAACUUUCGCCGGUACCAUAAACCCACCACAUAUCCUUCCUCAAAACUGCCACUAUACCUACCUAUUAUGGCAUUUCCAUAGCCAUUCCGAGAUAUAUUGCCAUGCAACUUUCCACCGUUCCGUUUAUUAUGACUCGCAUCAUCAUUGUCAUAUUGCUUUGCAUGAUCAUGUAGUUGACAUCGUAUUUGUGGCUAAGCCACCGUUCAUCAUUUUUUGUACAUGUCACUCUUGAUUCAUUGCACAUCACGGUACACCACCGGAGGCAUUCAUAUAGAGUCAUAUUUUGUUCUAAGUAUCGAGUUGUAAUUUUUGAGUUGUAAGCAAAUAAAAGUGUGAUGGUCUGCAUUGUCCCAUGUGAGGAAAGGAUGAUGGAGACUAUGAUUUCCCCACAAGUCAGGAUGAGACUCCGGACGAAAAAAAGGAGGCCAAAAAAAUAAGAGAAGUCCCAAAUAAAAAAAAGAGAGGAAAGAGAGAAGCGGCAAUGCUACUAUCCUUUUACCACACUUGUGCUUCAAAGUAGCACCAUGAUCUUCAUGAUAGAGAGUAUCCUAUGAUAUCACUUUCAUAUACUAGUGGGGAUUUUUCAUUAUAGAACUUGGCUUGUAUAUUCCAAUGAUGGGCUUCCUCAAAUUGCCCUAGGUCUUCGUGAGCAAGCGAGUUGGAUGCACACCCACUUAGUUUUCGUUUUGAGCUUUCAUAAACUAAUAGCUCUAGUGCAUCCGUUGCAUGGCAAUCCCUACUCACUCACAUUGAUAUCUAUUAAUGGGCAUCUUCAUAGCCCGUUGAUACGCCUAGUUGAUGUGAGACUGUCUCCCUCUUUUUGUCUUCUCCACAACCACCAUCUAUUCCACCUAUAGUGCUAUGUCCAUGGCUCAAGCUCAUGUAUUGCAUGAAAGUUGAAAAAGUUUGAGAACAUCAAAAGUAUGAAACAAUUGCUUGGCUUGUCAUCGGGGUUGUGCAUGAUUUAAAUAUUUUGUGUGAUGACGACGGAGCAUAGCCAAACUAUAUGAUUUUGUAGGGAUAAGCUUUCUUUGGCCAUGUUAUUCUGAGAAGACAUAAUUAUUUUGUUAGUAUGCUUGAAGUAUUAUUGUUUUUAUGUCAAUAUUAAACUUUUGUUUUGAAUCAUACGGAUCUGAACAUUCAUGCCACAAUAAAGAGAAUUACAUGAAUAAAUAUGUUAGGCAGCAUUCCACAUCAAAAAUUCUGUUUUUAUCAUUUACCUACUCAAGGACGAGCAGGAAUUAAGCUUGGGGAUGCUUGAUACGUCUCCAACGUAUCUAUAAUUUUUUAUUGUUCCAUGCAAUUAUAUUAUCUGUUUUGGAUGUUUUAUAUGCAUUAAUAUGCUAUUUUAUAUGAUUUUUGGAACUAACCUAUUAACCUAGAGCCCAGUGCGAGUUCCUGUUUUUUCCUUGUUUUAGAGUUUCUCAGAAAAGGAAUACCAAACGGAGUCCAAACGGAAUAAAACUUUCGCGAUGAUUUUUCUUGGACCAGAAGAUAUCCAAAAGACUUGGAGUGCAAGUCAGAAGAGCCACGAGGCGGCCACAAGGGUGGAGGGCACGCCCAUGGGGGUAGGGCGCGCCCCCCGACCUUGUGGUCCCCUCGGUGACCCCCUGACCUAGAUCUUCCUCCUAUAUAUUCUCAAAUAUCCCAAAAACUUCUAGGGGAGCCACGAAACCACUUUUCCACCGCCGCAACCUUCUAUACCCGUGAGAUCCCAUCUUGGGGCUUUUUUCGUCAUCCUGCCGGAGGGGGAUUUGAUCACGGAGGGCUUCUACAUCAACACCAUUGCCUCUCCGAUGAAGCGUGAGUAGUUUACCACAGACCUACGGGUCCAUAGCUAGUAGCUAGAUGGCUUCUUCUCUCUCUUUGAUUCUCAAUACAAAGUUCUCCUCGAUCUUCUUGGAGAUCUAUUCGAUGUAAUACUCUUUUGCGUUGUGUUUGCCGAGAUCCGAUGAAUUUUGUAUUAUGAUCAGCUUAUCUAUGAAUAUUAUUUGAAUCUUCUCUGAAUUCUUAUAUGCAUGAUUUGAUAUCUUUGCAAGUCUCUUCGAACUAUCGAUUUGGUUUGGCCAACUAGAUUGGUUUUUGUUGCAAUGGGAGAAGUGCUUAGCUUUGGGUUCAAUCUUGCGGUGCUCGAUCCUAGUGACAGAAGGGGAACCGACACGUAUUGUAUUGUUGCCAUCGAGGAUAAAAAGAUGGGGUUUUCAUCAUGAUGCUUGAGUUAAUUCCUCUACAUCAUGUCAUCUUGCUUAAGGAGUUACUCCGUUCUUUAUGAACUCAAUACUCUAGAUGCAUGCUGGAUAGCGGUCGAUGUGUGGAGUAAUAGUAGUAGAUGCAGAAUCGUUUCGGUCUACUUGACAUGGACGUGAUGCCUAUAUUCAUGAUCAUUGCCUUAGAUAUCGUCAUAACUUUGCGCUUUUCUACCAAUUGCUUGGUAGUAAUUUGUUCACCCACCGUAAUAAUUUCUAUCUUGAGAGAAGCCUCUAGUGAAACCUAUGGCCCCCGGGGCUAUUUUCCAUCAUAUAAGUUUCCGAUCUACAAUUUCAGUUUCCUAUUUACUUUCUUUACAAUUUUUUACUUUCCGUUCCAUAAACCAAAAAUACCAAAAUAUUACUUUACCGUUUAUCCAUCUCUAUCAGAUCUCACGUUGCAAAUAACCGUGAAGGGAUUGACAACCCCUUUAUCGCGUUGGGUGCAAGUUGGUGUUUGUUUGUGCAGGUAUUCGGUGGCUUGCGUGUCGUCUCCUACUGGAUUGAUACCUUGGUUCUCAAAAGCUGAGGGAAAUACUUACUCUACUUUGCUGCAUCACCCUUUCCUCUUCAAGGGAAAAACCAACGCAAGCUCAAGAGGUAGCAAUGACUCAGCCAACAGUUGUUCAAGUUUGAUUAUUAUCCUGUUAAACUUGAAUGCAAGAAGCUGAGCCAUAUUAAAAUAACAUGAUGCCACUAACAUCAUAAAGAAAUACCAUGCAAGAAUAUGACAAGAAUACUACCAAGCAAACAUGUAACCAACUAGAUGCAACGGAACAUGCAUAGCAACGGUACUAGAUAACAGACCAUAAGCAUGCACCAGAACGAACAUCACUACUAACAGAAUGUACUACUACUACCAAGCAUGACAUAUGAACAUGAUACUAGCAAGUAGUACAAGAUUACCAGUUGCAUCGAAACAUAGCAUGAAGGUGGACACGAAUCCACCCAGUAAAACCGAAACAACGACAGUAGUAGCAAACAAGCAGGAAUAUAGCGGGCAAAAUUUUAUUAAAUAUUCAAGUAGAAACCAUGGCUACUACAUGUAUAUCAUGCAAGUGGCUGUUGUGGCUUGCCUGGGGGUGACGGAGACUCCGGGAAGAAAUGCGGUGAAGCCGCGAAAUGAAACGCCGGACGGUUCUCUCUCGGAGUGGGCUGAUUAGAGGCAAGGGCAUAAUGGUCAUUUUCACUGUGAGACCACCUAGUGAAAAUGUUUCCAACAGAAAGAUCUCGACGAUACAAAGAAGUGGGCAUUCGUUUCACCUCGAUCGGAGUUACGGUUGCGGAGUUAUGAGGUGAUGAAGAUCAGGGACUAAUCUGUGAAUAUUUUCAUCACCAACGGGUCGUUGAGUGGAUAAGACAGAAACGGAUUUCAGAAAAUAAGCUUUCGGAACAGAGAAAGCACAUUCCUGGCCGCAGUAGAGGAAAGUAUGUUUUCUUAAAGAGAAAACGCAUAAUAGCCAACGAAGGAAAGUGAUACGCUUUCCUCAAAGGAAAACGUACUCACGAGAAGACGUUUCCACUUGCCACGUGGGAUGGAGGGGUGUGACACUGGCGCGUGGGGUCCAGCGGCAGG